UUCGACAUAAGGUUGUUGAGCACUAUAGCUGCAAAAUAUCCUCCUCCUGCAUCGGUGUCGCUGCUGCCUUCCCUUCGCAUCGUUAUCAGAACGAAUGGAACCGAUCAACAAACAGAUGGGCUACAUUUCGCACGGUAACUCGUCCACUCCACCUGAACUCACAUGUGCCUCAAGCUCGAAAACAUAUGCGCGGUGAAACCAAAUGGAGUGCAAAACAUUCAUUGCAGCUUGUGAAACUGCCAUUGCCGAGGGUCAUCGAAAUGGUCGGUGUUUCAUGAAACACAGCUGGAAGCGUGUGAGUGAGCUAUUCAACUCUUUCUCUAGCCACAACUAGAGCAAGCAACAACUGCGCAACUACAGGGACGCAAUGCGUCAAACCUACAAACAUCUCUACGAACUGUUGGCUUGCAGCGGGGUCAAAUAAAACCUAUCCACUUGUUGAAUUGUAGCAUCGGAGGAAUGGUGUACUCGAAAGAUCAUGGAGAACAAGGAGUACAAAUAUUUUAAGGAUAAAGAUGUAAGCGAGAUUUACACUUGCUAUCGUCAACUAAUCAGUAACAGUUACGACGAGAGCAAGUAUACCGUCACUUUCACGAAGUUGUGUAGAAUGGGGUUCGGGUUGUUUGAGGAUAGUGCACUCGAAGACCACCAAUGGGGAGAGCAACGGUUCAAGUGAUGAGGGAGACAAUACAAACGAUAGAUUAAGCGUGAAUGUCUCCGACACCAUAAACGACAAAAAAAUGAAAUCGUCCAUGAGCAAGCAACAAGGAAGGAAGAAGAAAACUUUUGCGCGAGCUGUAGUUCUCAAUUAAUCGGGCCACAAGGGCCGUUGAAGAAGUGGUGGCAAAGAUCAAUACCAUGAUGGCUUCGACUAACAACGUUGGUGUUGCCUACAUUAAAGUGUUAUUACCAAUUGUAUGGCUCGAGCGUCGAAAACCUUUGUACUUUUACGCCUGUACACUUCUGGCACAAAAAUAUUAUCGGGAUAUGCUUGGUGUCAUGAGAAAUGCUGAAGAAAAAUUUGAAUGGAUUGAGUGGUAGUUCAAUGACCAGGACAAACAAUUCCACCUAUGAUAUUUCGAAUUUGUUGUAUUUGUGUUUGUUUUCAAGAACUAUUUUCCUUUUCUUUGCACCAUUCCAUUACCAUUGAACGUUAUGUGCUUAAAUAUUUGUAAUGUGCUUAUAUUGUAAAUGUUUUUCUGUAAUGUACUUGUUUCCUUCAGACACA